AACGAACGCUGGCGGCAGGCCUAACACAUGCAAGUCGAACGCCCUGGCAACAGGGAGUGGCAGACGGGUGAGUAACGCGUGGGAACGUGCCCUUCGGUUCGGAAUAACUCAGGGAAACUUGAGCUAAUACCGGAUACGUGCGAGAGCAGAAAGAUUUAUCGCCGAAGGAUCGGCCCGCGUCCGAUUAGCCAGUUGGUGAGGUAACGGCUCACCAAGGCGACGAUCGGUAGCUGGUCUGAGAGGAUGAUCAGCCACACUGGGACUGAGACACGGCCCAGACUCCUACGGGAGGCAGCAGUGGGGAAUAUUGGACAAUGGGCGCAAGCCUGAUCCAGCCAUGCCGCGUGAGUGAUGAAGGCCCUAGGGUUGUAAAGCUCUUUCGCCAGGGACGAUAAUGACGGUACCUGGAUAAGAAGCCCCGGCUAACUUCGUGCCAGCAGCCGCCGCCG
rnacentral:rRNA from 1 species